UGGAGACUCAGCCAGGCUGCCAUGUUGGAGCCUGGGGAUCUGUGUUCUUCCAGCUUUACUCGUCCUCUUCAUUGUCAUCAUCAUCGGACUCUACCUGUGCUCAGGUAGACCAGCUGUUUGCUGCUGUAGAGGCAACAUGAGUCUGAAGGUUGCAGAGGACGAGUCUUUGCAUUAUUCCAGUCUGAAGCAUCCAGACAAGUCUCGCCUCUCCAGCCGAGGAAGGACGGGAUUGGCCGGAGACAACGUCACAUACUCGGCAGUGACCAUUCGCCAGAACCCAAAUGGAUCACAUGACUGCAGAUAGAGCGGCUCUUUGUUGUCCAAAGGAAGAAAUGUGAUUUCCUUUGAGAUUAUAAACAAUGACUCUUUGAAUAACGCAAUAAUGAGCUAAAAACUAUAAAUGUCUGAAAUGAUGAAUUUCAGGUACCUUCCCCCCCAAAAAAUGUGUAUAUAAAAAUUUAAACUCUUAUAAUUAAAUUUUACAUUAUAUAUUAUAUAUAUAUAUAAAAAAUUAUAUAUAUAUAAUAUAUAUAUAUAUAAAUGUUAUUAAAAUAUGCUGACAACUGUUCUCUCUAUGAAUGUAAUGUUUUUUUUUUAAGGCUAUUUCACUGAUCUUUGUUCAUAUUAAAAUGUGAUACUCUGCUUUGCUUUUAGUUUUAGAGGAUUAUUUGCUAUUUUAUACCACAGAAUAAUGUUAAAAUGUUACUUAUAUACUAAUACUACUACUUA